AAGACUGUGCUUCACAGGAUCAUUUCUGUAGGCAAGUUUUCACCACAAGUUUUACCGAAAGGAAAAGCUUUCCCACCCACGAUGAGGAGAUGUAGUGUCCUGUCUGGAGCGUGAAACUUGGUCGGGUUUGGUUGAUCUGAUACAGAUAAAUCGCCCUUCCUCUGAAGAUCGGCUCUCUUGCAAGACUCGGACGCAUUCUGAGUGGU
rfam:Aedes aegypti strain Liverpool supercont1.45 genomic scaffold, whole genome shotgun sequence.